CCGGCAUGGCGCGGACCAGACCCUCGGCGAAGCCCAUGUACCAGUCGGGCUGGGCACCCGUGGACACCUGGUCCGG
rnacentral:tRNA from 1 species